UUCUGCUGGAGCUAGUUAGCGGCCAUGAAGCAAUGGAUUUGCUAUCUUCAGAGUUGAAUGUAAACAUAGUUGAAUGGGUAGAGAAUUAUCAAGAAUCUGGAAACAUAUCUGCCAUCAUUGAUCCAAGAUUGGGCAAUAGCUUCACCAGAGAAGGCAUGGAAGAGUUCAUGCAAUUGACUGUCCGGUGCGUUGACUCUUCGAGUGAAAAGCGG
rnacentral:misc_RNA from 1 species